GCGGGCCCCGGGCGGGGCGGGGGCACGGGGGGAACGCGAAGAACCUUACCUACUCUUGACAUCCAGAGAACUUGGCAGAGAUGCUUUGGUGCCUUCGGGAACUCUGAGACAGGUGCUGCAUGGCUGUCGUCAGCUCGUGUUGUGAAAUGUUGGGUUAAGUCCCGCAACGAGCGCAACCCUUAUCCUUUGUUGCCAGCGCGUAAUGGCGGGAACUCAAAGGAGACUGCCGGUGAUAAACCGGAGGAAGGUGGGGAUGACGUCAAGUCAUCAUGGCCCUUACGAGUAGGGCUACACACGUGCUACAAUGGCGUAUACAAAGGGAAGCGACCCCGCGAGGGCAAGCGGAACUCAUAAAGUACGUCGUAGUCCGGAUUGGAGUCUGCAACUCGACUCCAUGAAGUCGGAAUCGCUAGUAAUCGUAGA
rnacentral:rRNA from 1 species